rnacentral:rRNA from 1 species
ACAUGCAAGUCGAACGGUAACAGGGAGCAGCUUGCUGCUUCGCUGACGAGUGGCGGACGGGUGAGUAAUGUCUGGGAAACUGCCUGAUGGAGGGGGAUAACUACUGGAAACGGUAGCUAAUACCGCAUAACGUCUUCGGACCAAAGUGGGGGACCUUCGGGCCUCAUGCCAUCAGAUGUGCCCAGAUGGGAUUAGCUAGUAGGUGGGGUAACGGCUCACCUAGGCGACGAUCCCUAGCUGGUCUGAGAGGAUGACCAGCCACACUGGAACUGAGACACGGUCCAGACUCCUACGGGAGGCAGCAGUGGGGAAUAUUGCACAAUGGGCGCAAGCCUGAUGCAGCCAUGCCGCGUGUAUGAAGAAGGCCUUCGGGUUGUAAAGUACUUUCAGCGGGGAGGAAGGUGUUGUGGUUAAUAACCACAGCAAUUGACGUUACCCGCAGAAGAAGCACCGGCUAACUCCGUGCCAGCAGCCGCGGUAAUACGGAGGGUGCAAGCGUUAAUCGGAAUUACUGGGCGUAAAGCGCACGCAGGCGGUCUGUUAAGUCAGAUGUGAAAUCCCCGGGCUCAACCUGGGAACUGCAUUUGAAACUGGCAGGCUUGAGUCUCGUAGAGGGGGGUAGAAUUCCAGGUGUAGCGGUGAAAUGCGUAGAGAUCUGGAGGAAUACCGGUGGCGAAGGCGGCCCCCUGGACGAAGACUGACGCUCAGGUGCGAAAGCGUGGGGAGCAAACAGGAUUAGAUAC